GAGCCUCAACAGAGAAGCAGCCAUUCGGGCUUCUUUGGCAACAGCCUUGGCAACUACAGACUUGACAAUUUGUUGCGCUUGUGGGCAUGACUUAUAGUAGUAUUGCGGGUAUAGUUUAUCAUUGUUACUCUUAAAAGAGAAACAAAUUGGUGAAAAAGCAAGCAGAGCAAUGAAAAUGAAGAAACUCAUGGACCGAGCCAUCUUGAAGUUAAAGACUUAGAUUUAGAAGAAAUUUAUUUUGAUUAAUACUGAGGAAGGCUAGC
rnacentral:lncRNA from 1 species